CAAACAUUACAAUUUGUCGACCCACUACAACAACUUCUCCACCACCCUCAAGUAUAGCCACUAUCUCCAAUCCUUUAACAAUUCAGCAGUAACCUUCCUCCAUUCACCUCCAUUCUACACUAAGAAAUGCGCCGAAGAGUAAAGAGAAACUCCAUCCAGUGUCCUGCCAACUUCAAGUUUCAAGCAUUUGUUACUCCAGUUAACAAUGGAAGAAGUAAAAUAAACCAUCAGUUCAUUUCCCUGCCAAAACUUCAAGAAGUUCCAGUUCAUUUAACACCACAGCAGCCAACCAACAUCAAUUACAAGGUAUAUACUAAGCUCAACUUAUUCGAUCCAUUUCGCAUCAACCACAAGCAUGAUCAGUUUCGAAUUACAGAGGGAUAUAGUAAAUCACAUAUGCAUAAUCAUGUUCCACCAAUAUAUCUGACAGUCCACGUUAUGUAUAGAAAGACUUGUGCUUUUCAUCCUACUGCACUCUAGAACAACAAAAGCUUGAGAACCUCUGCCUUUAACAAAAUAGAAACUAGAACAGAAGGAUUUAGGACUUAGCUUUAAGAUAUAGUGCCGGCUGCCUGUUCGGACGAGCCCAAAGCAACGACGAACCUCUGCUGCCGUGAUGGAGUUCGAAAACGAAGACGACGAACUCUCGUUGUCUCCUCUGUUUUAGUGUAUAACAGCAACAACGGCAGAUGAGACCGGUGGCCGACGACGUCUGACUCAUCGGAAAAGGAGUGGCCGACUACCCUGCUUUGAAUCGGGAAGAUGGACGGCGAUUGUAAAUCGCCGGAUUUACAGACGCAACGGCGUCGAACCAGGGCGGUGACCCGGGAUUUCAGAAGCGGCGCCUACGGUCGCCUCGACCUCGCUGGAUUCAAGAGCAGCGGCGAACCCGGGGCCGCAGAUUCAGUUUUAAAAGAGGGGGGCACGAACGGCGUUGUCCUCGCCAAUUUUUAGGGGAACCUCUGAGUCGCGGCGGCACUGGAGAACUCAGCGGUGGCCGCACCGGGAGCUCACGGUAGAGACGAAGAUAGAAACGGCCACGACCGGCGCCGAUUGUUUCGCCGGAUUCCAGAUGGAGGUGCGACAGCGGCGAUUUGAGAAAGGAAGGAAUUAGGGCUCGGUUUCUAAGUUCGAUUGGGCAUGCUUGAGUCUGAUUUGAGUAGAGAGAAGGCAGAGAUGGACGUGAGGGAGGAGGUUCGACCGCCGUUCGCCGGGAAUUGCAGCGGCGACAGCGGCGAUUGCGAUGUCAGGAAGGAACUAGGGCACGCCCUCUCACCUCGGAUGAACUGCCAGCAAGAGAGAAGAUACGGAGAGAGAGACGGGUGCGGUCGCGCCGGACCUAAACUCGGCGAUAGCCGACGCCGGCCGGAGACGGAGGCGGCAGAAUUCGAGAGGGAGGAGAGAGGCGUGUUCUGAUUUUUUUUGAAGAGAGGGAGAGUAUCGGCUCCAACAGAGAGAGAAGAAGAAUUGGGCCUCUAAUUUCUUUUGGGCCGAAUUUUGAGCUUGGGCUUUGUUUAAUUUGGUUUGGGCCAUUGCAUUUAAUUACUUUGGGCUUGAUCUAUUUAAUUGUUUUGGGCUUCCCUUAUAAUUCGAAUUGGGCUGCUCCUUAUUUUCUUGAUGGGCCGAUAUUUAGGCUGAGUUUAUUAAAGAAUGGGCUGAAUUUAUUCCUUUUAAGUGAACUGGAUCCAUGGGCUCCUCCCUAUUCAUUUUUAAUUGGGCUUUCUUGAUUUUAAAUUAUGAAUUGGGCCUCUGAAUUUAUUUAUAUGGGCCGAUUUUAA